rnacentral:rRNA from 1 species
UACGUAGGGGGCCAGCGUUGUCCGGAUUCAUUGGGCGUAAAGCGCGUGUAGGCGGCCAGGUAGGUCCGAUGUGAAAUCUGGAGGCUCAACCUCCAGCGGUCAUUAGAAACCAUCUGGCUAGAGUCCGGAAGAGGAGAGUGGAAUUCCACGUGUAGCGGUGAAAUGCGUAGAGAUGUGGAGGAACACUAGUGGCGAAGGCGACUCUCUGGUCUGUAACUGACGCUGAGGAGCGAAAGCGUGGGGAGCAAACAGG